rnacentral:rRNA from 1 species
GACGAACGCUGGCGGCGUGCCUAACACAUGCAAGUCGAGCGGGGAUUUAAGUGGAAGUUCUUCGGAAUGGAGAUUUAAAUUCUAGCGGCGGACGGGUGAGUAACGCGUGAACAAUCUGUCCCGGACAGGGGGAUAACACUUGGAAACAGGUGCUAAUACCGCAUAAGACCACGGCCUCGCAUGGGGCUGAGGUAAACGGAGCAAUCCGGUUCGGGGUGAGUUCGCGUCCGAUUAGCUAGUUGGUGAGGUAACGGCCCACCAAGGCGACGAUCGGUAGCCGGCCUGAGAGGGUGAACGGCCACAUUGGAACUGAGAGACGGUCCAAACUCCUACGGGAGGCAGCAGUGGGGAAUAUUGGGCAAUGGGCGAAAGCCUGACCCAGCAACGCCGCGUGAGGGAAGAAGGUUUUCGGAUUGUAAACCUCUGUCCUAUGGGACGAAGGAAGUGACGGUACCAUAGGAGGAAGCCCCGGCUAACUACGUG